rnacentral:lncRNA from 1 species
GUCAGCUGGAGGCAGAUCUGACAAAGCGGUGGUUCGAGGCAGUUUUUGGGUCUGGGGGGGCUAACACAGCCAUCCCGGGAGUCGAGAGCCAGGUCCGUGGCUGGGGGCCGGCUUCAAAGCUGUUGAGGUCUCGCUGCUCAGAUUUGCCUCCAUCUCUGCUUUUCAUCUCGGCUUCGCGCCGCCGUUCCGCUCCCGCUGCUCCGCGGCUGAGGUUUAGUUCUGCGAAAAUGGCUUGUUCAAAGCACGCCUGACACCUUCAGGGAAGGCAGGGAGUCAGUGUUCCUCUCUUCUCUCCUCAUUUCCAGGCUGCUUGGAGAUGAUAAAACUGUCCCUGGCCACGUCUGUGCUCCUUGCUUGGCCUUUCCCAUGUGUUGUCUGCACCCCAGACUGCGGGAGGUUUUUCUCAGGGGUUCCCAGAGCCUGGCCAGAGCUGGUCCAUCCCUCAGGAGCAGUAUUUCCUAUGGAUCAGCAGGCUGCACAACGAUUUCACUCUGUGCGGGCAGUUCUGCUACAGCCCAGCCCCUGGUAACAGCACCGUGAGUGUGGCAGAGGCCAACCGAGCUCCACAGGGAAUUCCUGCAGGAGUCUGAGCCGUCCAUACCUCUGGCAACGCAAAUAUUGCUCCUCCAGCUCUCCGAUGGGCUUGCAGAGCCGCCGGGAAUCCUCGGUCGUGUCCCUGCAGAAGCUCCGCCACCGUUUCGGAGUAACGCCCUCGUCCAUCUCCCUCUUUUCCCAGAUCUCAAGGGUGUGGUUUCUGCCAAGAACGACAUCCGCGUGGAGAUCGUGCACAAGGAGCCGGCCGCGGGCAGGGAGGCGGAGGAGCACCCGACCAUCAAGCAGCUGAUGAUGGACCGGGGGGAGUUCCAGCAGGAUUCGGUGCUGAAGCAGCUCGAGGUGCUCAAGGAGGAGGAGAAGGAGUUUCAAAACCUGAAGGACCCCACCAACGGCUACUACAGCGUGAACACCUUCAAGGAGCACCACUCCACCCCCACCAUCUCGCUCUCGGGCUGCCCGGCCGACCUGCGCCCGGCCGGCAAGCAGCGGGUGCCCACGGGCAUGUCCUUCACCAACAUCUACAGCACCCUGAGCGGGCAGAGCCGCCUCUACGACUACAGCCAGCGCUUCGUGCUGGGCAUGGGCAGCAGCUCCAUCGAGCUGUGCGAGCGCGAGUUCCAGCGCGGCUCCAUGAGCGACAGCAGCUCCUUCCUCGACACCCAGUGCGACAGCAGCAUCAGCAGCAGCGGCAAGCAGGACGGCUACGUGCAGUUCGACAAGGCCAGCAAGGCCUCCGCAUCCUCCUCCCACCAUUCCCAGUCGUCUUCCCAAAACUCGGACCCCAGCCGGCCCCUGCAGAGGCGGAUGCAGACGCACGUUUGAGCGCCCCGGGCCGCUCGGACCCUCCGCGUGGGCGCCGUGGCUGCGCGCUCGGACAGUGGCGCCCGCCGGCAGCGGCGUGGCCAGAGGCCGGCUCCAGCCCCCGGAGCGGGGCUGCGGGCAGGGGCCGGCCGAGCACCCCCUCCCCGGCACACGCUAAGCACAACCCCGCCGAGGACGCGCCGAGCCCCGCGGAGCCGUCCCCGCCGCGCAGCCCCGCCGCUCGCCUCCGCUUCCCGCUGCCCUCCCCCGCCGCCUCCCCUCCCUUCGUGCUGUUCGGUGUCCGUACUUAUAGAGUCCGUUUCGGGGGGUCCCGCCGUGGGGACAGGAGGUGGGCACAGCGGUGGGACAGGGACUCCCCGGGAAGGGCCUCUCCACGCUGUAUCGCGGCACCGCGGUCAAUACAAGAGGUGUUUCUCGUGGCACGCCUGGGCUGGUGGCCGCCCCGCGGGGACAUCGGCUUCCCUGCCACAGAGCUGGCCUGGAGUCCGGGUGUGCCAUGGGGCAGGCCCCAUGGGGGCAGAAAUGGCCGGUGGUGGAGGGAAACUGAGGCACGGGGCAGCUGGGACCCCAGCGUGGGAGCCAGGAGAUGGGGCGUCACAACAGGUAAGGGGAUGCGGGGACACAGUGGCAUGGGGACAGGCCACCCUCCCUGCACCUCACAGCCCCAAAACUCCCUCACACCCCCCAUCGUGCCCCAGGAGCACCCAGCCCAUCCCAGCCUCACCAGGACUUUAUUGGGUGCCAGCAUGAGCCCCAACACCCCCAUCCAUGGGUCCCCCCGACACCUGCAGCCCCACGGGGGCAGAGGGGACCCUACACCAACAGGGAGAAGGCACCAGUCAACCCCUCCAUGGUGAGGGGACAUCCCAAAUGCCCACCCCUGCAGCCAAGCACACACCCGCCCACCCAAGGCCCCCCCGUCCCUGACACCAGUGGCAUGCAGGCCCUGGGUGAAAGCUCCACCAUAAAUAAGCAUUUAAAUUAAUUAAAUUAAUCUGCACCACCAAAGGGCCCUGGCAGAUCCCGAAAGCCAAGCACCCCAGGGUGCCCCCACCCAGGGGGGCUGUGGGGACGAGUCCCUACACCAGCGCUAAGGCACAGGACAGGG